UUUUAUAUGGAGUGAGCU
rnacentral:misc_RNA from 1 species